rnacentral:lncRNA from 1 species
CUUUUGCCCCUAACAUUUCACAUUUUUCACAAAUUAGUCCCUAUUUCACAAAAAUACAAAAUAAACAAACUUUCCUUGCACAAUAGCUUGGCCGAAUAUGCACUAAGCUCAUAUAAAUCCAUGCAUGUCAUUUAUUUCACAUUUUAGUCCCUCAAUUUAUUAUUUUUGCAAUUUAGCCUUAAUUACUCAAAAUCAUCAAAAAUUCAAUUUCAACAUAUAUAUAUAUCCAUUUCAUAUAUUUUAUUUUCUAUCAUUAAACAACAAAAUUACAAGCUUUCAACAAUGGCAAAACACAAAAUCAUCAUCAAAUUCAAAAAUUUAAGCAUGGGUCGAGUAGUAUUCGAAACAACGAUCUCAAAAACAUAAAAAUCAUCAAAAACCGAAACCGAAACAUACCUUAAUUUGCUUGAGCAAGGGCCGAAUACCUAGCUUGGUUUUCUUAUUUUCUUUCUCUUUUCAUUCGGCA